ACAAAUAAUGCCUGUACCAUAACCGACACAGGUGGGUAGGUAGAGUAUACUAAGGGGCGCGAGAUAACUCUCUCUAAGGAACUCGGCAAAAUGACUCCGUAACUUCGGGAGAAGGAGUGCCUUAUUUUAUAAGGUUGCAAUAACAAGAUCCAAGCAACUGUUUACCAAAAACACAGGUCUCCGCUAAGUCGUAAGACGAUGUAUGGGGGCUGACGCCUGCCCAGUGCCAGAAGGUUAAAGAAGUUGUUUAGCAUCCGCGAAGCUGAUAACUGAAGCCCUGGUGAACGGCGGCCGUAACAAUAACGGUCCUAGGGUAGCGAAAUUCCUUGUCGGGUAAGUUCCGACCCGCACGAAAGGCGUAAUGAUUUGGAUACUGUCUCAGAGAGGGGCUCGGUGAAAUAGACUUGUCUGUGAAGAUGCGGACUACCUGCACCAGGACAGAAAGACCCUAUGAAGCUUUACUGUAACUUGAAAUUGAAAUUGGACUUUACUUGCGCAGUAUAGGUGGGAGGCGUUGAGAAUAUUCUUGCGGGAAUGUUGGAGCCAUCAGUGAGAUACCACUCUUGUAAUGUUAGAUUUCUAACUUUGUAUCAUUAUCUGGUCAAAGGACAGUCUCAGGCGGGCAGUUUGACUGGGGCGGUCGCCUCCCAAACGGUAACGGAGGCGCACAAAGGUUUCCUCUGAACGGGUAGAAAUCGUAUCUAGAGUGUAAAGGCAUAAGGAAGCUUGACUGUGAGACCUACAAGUCGAGCAGGGACGAAAGUCGGUCUUAGUGAUCUGACGGUGCUGAGUGGAAAGGCCGUCACUCAACGGAUAAAAGUUACUCUAAGGAUAACAGGCUGAUCUCCCCCAAGAGUUCACAUCGACGGGGAGGUUUGGCACCUUGAUGUCGGCUCAUCGCAUCCUGGGGCGGUAGUACGUCCCAAGGGUUGGGCUGUUCGCCCAUGAAAGCGGUACGCGAGCUGGGUUCAGAACGUCGUGAGACAGUUCGGUCCAUAUCCGGUGUAGGCGUUAGAAUAUUGAGAGGAGCCUUCUUUAGUACGAGAGGACCGAGAAGGACAUACCUCUGGUGUACCAGUUAUCGUGCCAACGGUAAACGCUGGGUAGCUAUGUAUGGAGUGGAUAACCGCUGAAAGCAUCUAAGUGGGAAGCCCACCUCAAGAUGAGUACUCUCACCAUAUUGGUUAAGGUCACGGGAAGAACACCCGUUGAUAGGCAUCAGGUGGAA
rnacentral:rRNA from 1 species